rnacentral:lncRNA from 1 species
UAGAAAAUUAAACCUUUCUACUAGGCAGAAAAUCAUUUUUAAGAUAAGCAGCAUCUUUAUCAUUCACAGUUACCCGAUGUUCAGCCAAGCUGUAAUUUGGGAAGGAGGGAUUUCUGACUUAUAAGAAUAUGCAGUACCAAGAAAAUGUCAGCAACCAGACCCAGCACACCCUGGUGCGGGUCUUUCGUCCCUUCUUCACCCGCGUCAGGCUGCAUCACGUUCCUGUUUUUUUGGUACCGAGGAUUGGAUUGAACUCACAACCUCACUCUUGCCAGGCAGGGGCUUAUGCCACUGAUCUAACUCUCCAGUCCACAAAAAGAAUCUUUAGUAUCCAAAAUUCCCAGGUUGUCCUUCACUCUGUGUAAGUAAGGUUUUGGACAGUCGUCCUGUCAAGAACCUGGCUUCCCAUCAUGUGUAAACUAUCCUUUUGAAAACUUGCUUGACUUUUUUUACUACAAAUAAUUGAAAGAUCAGAAACAAUAUCUUUGAAUGGUUGUAUCCACAUGUAAAUGAAGGAUGGAAAAUAGCGUCUUCUGAUAGUUUCUGUGGACAGUGCAAGACUCUAAUAAAAAACCGAAGGAUUGAAAAGAGCACUUUUCUUUUUCUUUUUGAGACAGGGUAUUGCUAUGUAAGUUAGACUGGCCUUAAACUCAC